rnacentral:rRNA from 1 species
UAAGAUAAGAUAUCUCAUCCCUUAAAGGGAGUAAGGCCACUGAUAGACGAUCAGGUGAUAGGCUGGAGGUGAAAGCACAGCAAUGUGUUCAGCUGACCAGUACUAAUCGGCCGAGGUCUUGAUCCAAG